GAUGAACGCUGGCGGUAUGCUUAACACAUGCAAGUCGAACGGUCACUUCGGUGAUAGUGGCGGACGGGUGAGUAACGCGUGAGAAUCUGUCUUCAGGUCGGGGACAACAGUUAGAAAUGACUGCUAAUACCGGAUGUGCCGAAAGGUGAAAGAUUUAUUGCCUGAAAAAGAGCUCGCGUCAGAUUAGCUAGUAGGUGGUGUAAGAGACUACCUAGGCGACGAUCUGUAGCUGGUCUGAGAGGACGAUCAGCCACACUGGAACUGAGACACGGUCCAGACUCCUACGGGAGGCAGCAGUGGGGAAUUUUCCGCAAUGGGCGAAAGCCUGACGGAGCAAUACCGCGUGAGGGACGAAGGCUUUUGGGUCGUUAAACCUCUUUUAUUAGGGAAGAUUUCAGGACGGUACCUAAUGAAUAAGCAACGGCUAACUCUGUGCCAGCAGCCGCGGUAAU
rnacentral:rRNA from 1 species